GCCAGGUGUGGUGAUGCACACCUGUAGUCCCAGCUACUCGGGAGGCUGAGGCAGAAGAAUUGCUUGAACCUGGGAGGUGGAAUUUGCAGUGAGCCGAGAUCGCCCCACUGCACUCCAUCCUGGGUGACAGAGCGAGACUCUGUCUCAA
rnacentral:SRP_RNA from 1 species